rnacentral:ncRNA from 1 species
AGAUAAAGGCAAAUCAAGCGAAAGUUUGAGACGCAAAGCUUUAGGUCUAAAGGAGUUAUUAAUUCCAAUGAUAGCUAGGCUACCU